AUAGGGCCACCAUCCUUGGAUUUACCAAUGUUUUUCAUAUUUACUUGGAAAGCAGACAGGACUACAGGGUUUUAACCAAUUUUAGCAUGUGGCAGCCUGGAGAGGGUUUUCUGAAAAGGCACCCCAUCCUCUUGCACACAGAAAACCCAUUGCUGAAGAUCGUUCAAAAGAGUCACCUCCUCCUUCCACACAACACAGUCCCUCCCCAGCUGGCAUCCCUUUCACUCUCUUCUGAGUCUCAACAAGAGUAGAGUGUGGCAAGCAAACAUGCUGCUGCUGGCAGUGCUUGUUGCCACAGCCACUUGGUCUUAUGGAUUUGCACAGGAAAUUCCCAUGCAGAGUCCUAUAUCCAUCACCAAGUUCCAAAAAAGUGCACGAAUGACAUGUGAAAUUCAAACAUUAGGGGCAAAUUUUGAUGGUGCCGUCAUACACUGGUAUCUGCAGAAGGAAGGUGAAGCUCCAAAGAGGCUCUUGUUCCUUUCAGGAGGAAAAGCUACGGUUGAAACUGGCUUUCAAGCAAGCAGAUACAUGGUUGAAAGAAUUUCUGGUCAGCGACGGUGUGUUCUUACAAUAAAAGAUGUAAUUCCAACUGAUGCUGCUACUUACUACUGUGCCUACUGGGAUCCUCACUGUGAUAGAAACUCAAAGAUCAUCAAGGCAAAAAAACACCUGCAACGUCUGAACCACAGGGUUGUAACUGUGCCAUUCCACCAGUCUUCUCACUCCUUCUGAUGUGAGUUGCUGAAAGGUCAAACCCUUUCCUGCUUCCCAAAGAGAGUAGCUAACCCUGCACAACUGUUCUUUUCAAAGUCUGGGUCAUCAUUAGGACUCCUGUCUUCAACACACAUCCACUAUUUUAAGGACAAAGGAAAUCAUCACUGCCUUAGGACUUAGCACGUAAUUGCUGGACACUCCCCUGCUCCUUUGGUGCUGUUUGCACGCCAUGGCAGAAGUCUGGUGGCCUUUAGGGGAGCAAACAGAGAAACAUUGAUUUUCUAGUCCAGCCACUGUUCUCCCCUAGGAAAGAGAAGGCAGCAAAAGCAAGACAACAUACUGAAGGAAGUACUACCUUGGAGGAUGGAAAUUGUAUACUUGGCACUGUCUAUCACAUCUAAGUAAAAAGUUCCCCCUUAUAUUCUUCCCUGUUGUACAUGUACCAGCUGUUAGCCCCUGGAAAAACUGUAAGCCCUGUUUACCUAAUUCAGAUACCACAAAAUCUCACACAGACCAAUUUAAAUUAGAGAUUUACAGUCUCUUGUCCGCCACAGCUAAUGAUGUGCUACAUAUAACCAUUGCCUUAUUUCAUUUUGUGUUAAGACAAAUAGAAUAAACAUCAUUUUAUUUGAAGAAGGAUAUUUGCUGAAACUGUCAAGUAUGAUGGACUCACUUCAAAUUUGCAUGAAGUUAGUGUAUGGCCCUGAGCACAGCAAGCAUUUCACAGAAAAGCAUAAGAGGAAUAGUUUUUGCUUGUGACUAUAGCCAAGUGUGUGCCUACUCUUCAGCUUUUCUUUUCCUG